UGGGGAAUAUUGGACAAUGGGGGCAACCCUGAUCCAGCAAUGCCGCGUGUGUGAAGAAGGCCUUCGGGUUGUAAAGCACUUUUAUCGGGAACGAAACAUUGUCGGCCAAUACCCGGCAAGACUGACGGUACCCGAGGAAUAAGCACCGGCUAACUCCGUGCCAGCAGCCGCGGUAAUACGGAGGGUGCAAGCGUUAAUCGGAAUUACUGGGCGUAAAGCGUGCGCAGGCGGUUUGUUAAGUCUGUUGUGAAAUCCCCGAGCUCAACUUGGGAAUUGCAAUGGAUACUGGCAGGCUGGAGUAUGGUAGAGGAAGGUGGAAUUCCCGGUGUAGCAGUGAAAUGCGUAGAGAUCGGGAGGAACACCAGUGGCGAAGGCGGCCUUCUGGACCAAUACUGACGCUCAUGCACGAAAGCGUGGGGAGCAAACA
rnacentral:rRNA from 1 species